rnacentral:tRNA from 1 species
UUGGCUAUCGCCAAGCGGUAAGGCACUGGAUUUUGAUUCCAGCAUUCGCAGGUUCGAAUCCUGCUAGCCCAGCUA